AGAAAUACCCGAGCGGUUGACGAAAAAACAAGAUCAUCGUUUACACCGUCUAUCAUCACCACCGGAAAUAGAUGACCAGCGAAGCGAGAAUAAACAAAACAACCAUGGAGAGCAAAAUGGAUGAGUCGUUGGAUGUUUCUGGCCUUGAAGAGAGCAUCCACGCAGUGCAUUUGUGUCAAUGUGGGUAUUACUCCACUGACAAGUCGAACUAUAAUAGACACAUGAAACGAUUCAGAUGGCAUACACCUGGAUCACGAACAAGCACUCCUGCACAGCAGCAUGUUUCUGUCCUUGAAGAGAGCAUCCACGCAGUGCAUUCGUCAGUAUUAUUACGGCAACCGGAUUCAUUUGUUCCAUUUGACUCUUCCAUAAAUUCCUGACCUAAAGCAACGUUGGAGAGAGGGUCAUGUUGGUCAUCAACACUGCUACUCUCAAGUAACCUGACAUGUUUCUUUAAUGGACUAGCUUUGGGUAUCACAUUAGCUCUUGAAAUAUGAAUGUAGCCUUUGAUCUCAUCAAUUGUUAUAGUUCGACCCUGCUCCCGAUAAAGAUCUGGUAUA